rnacentral:rRNA from 1 species
UGAGGAAUAUUGGUCAAUGGCCGAGAGGCUGAACCAGCCAAGUCGCGUGAAGGAAGAAGGAUCUAUGGUUUGUAAACUUCUUUUAUAGGGGAAUAAAGUGGAGGACGCGUCCUUUUUUGUAUGUACCCUAUGAAUAAGCAUCGGCUAACUCCGUGCCAGCAGCCGCGGUAAUACGGAGGAUGCGAGCGUUAUCCGGAUUUAUUGGGUUUAAAGGGUGCGUAGGUGGUGAUUUAAGUCAGCGGUGAAAGUUUGUGGCUCAACCAUAAAAUUGCCGUUGAAACUGGGUUACUUGAGUGUGUUUGAGGUAGGCGGAAUGCGUGGUGUAGCGGUGAAAUGCAUAGAUAUCACGCAGAACUCCGAUUGCGAAGGCAGCUUACUAAACCAUAACUGACACUGAAGCACGAAAGCGUGGGGAUCAAACAGGAUUAGAUACCCUGGUAGUCCACGCAGUAAACGAUGAUUACUAGGAGUUUGCGAUACAAUGUAAGCUCUACAGCGAAAGCGUUAAGUAAUCCACCUGGGGAGUACGCCGGCAACGGUGAAACUCAAAGGAAUUGACGGGGGCCCGCACAAGCGGAGGAACAUGUGGUUUAAUUCGAUGAUACGCGAGGAACCUUACCCGGGUUUGAACGUAGUCUGACCGGAGUGGAAACACUUUUUCUAGCAAUAGCAGAUUACGAGGUGCUGCAUGGUUGUCGUCAGCUCGUGCCGUGAGGUGUCGGCUUAAGUGCCAUAACGAGCGCAACCCUUAUCACUAGUUACUAACAGGUGAAGCUGAGGACUCUGGUGAGACUGCCAGCGUAAGCUGUGAGGAAGGUGGGGAUGACGUCAAAUCAGCACGGCCCUUACAUCCGGGGCGACACACGUGUUACAAUGGCAUGGACAAAGGGCAGCUACCUGGCGACAGGAUGCUAAUCUCCAAACCAUGUCUCAGUUCGGAUCGGAGUCUGCAACUCGACUCCGUGAAGCUGGAUUCGCUAGUAAUCGCGCAUCAGCCAUGGCGCGGUGAAUACGUUCCC